rnacentral:lncRNA from 1 species
UAGGGUUAGUCGGAUGAACUCUAAGUAUAUGUGUCAGAGUUCGAAUAAAUCUGAUAUCAUUUGACUGAAUUCUAAGUAUAUAAUUUAGAACUCUGUCGAUUUGGAAAUAUUUUGCCUUAGUUAUAUGUGCUAAGGCGAUUGACUUAGUCCUAAGUAUAUGUAUUAGGGUAGUCGAUAUUAAAUUUUUAUUCUAGAUAUAUGUGCUAGAGUAGAAAAGGUUCAUGAUGAACUUUGGAUAUGAUUUAAUUCAUAUAUGGUUCAUGAGAUUUUUGGUUUAUGGCUCAUGAGGUUUGGUGUAUGGCUCAUGAGGUUUGGUUUAUGGGAUUUGGUUCAUGGAUUUGGUAUAUAAACUUGGUUUAUGGACUUGGUUCAUAGUUCAUGAACUUGAUUCAUUUGGUUCAUGAACUUGGUUUAUAGACUUGAUUCAUGGUUCAUGAACUUGAUUCAUUUGGUUCAUAAACUUAGUUUAUAGACUUGGUUCAUGAUUCAUGAACUUGGCUCAUUUGGUUCAUGAACUUGGUGUACGGUUCAUGGGGUUUUGUUUAUAGUUCAUGAACUUGGUGUAUGGUUUAUGGGGUUUUGGUUCGUGGUUCAUGAACUUGGUUCAUAAGGUUAGGUAUGUGGGAUUUGGUUCAUGGACUUGGAUAUGGUUCAUGGAUUUAGUAUAUGAACUUGGGUAUGGUUCAUGGGAUUCACAAACUUGAGUAAGCUUCAUGAACUUGGUUCAUGGUUUAUGGGAUUUGGUUCAUGAACUUGGGUAUGGUUCGUGGUGUUUGGUUCACGAACUUGGUUCAUGAUUUAUGGGACUUGGGUUCAUGAACUUGGGUAUGGUUCGUGGUGUUUGGUUCAUGAACUUGGUUCAUGGUUUAUGGAAUUUGGUUCAUGAACUUGGGUAUGGUUCGUGGUGUUUGGUUCACGAACUUGGUUCAUGGUUUAUGGGAUUUGGUUCAUGAACUUCGAUAUGAAUCCUAGUUGGAAGUCGGGUUUGGGUUCUAUUUGUGGUCCGGAUUGGGUUUGAGUUUGGGAUUUUAUUUGUGGAUUGGAUUGGUUUUGGGUUUAUCUGUGGUCUGUAUUUGCUUUUGGGUUUUAUUUGUAGACUUGGUUUUGGUUUGGGGGAUUUGAUUUGGGUUUUGGGUUUGGGUUUUUUAUUUUGGAUUGAAUUUUAUUUGUGGACUUGACAUUGGUUUCGGGUUUGGGUUUUGUUUUUUGGUUUGGAUUUGGGUUGGGAUUUGGGUUUUGGUUUUGGUUUUUGAUUUGGGUUUUGGUUUUUUAUUUGUGGACUUGGUUUGGGUUUGGAUUUGGGUUUUAUUUGUGGACUUAGUUUUCUUUUCAAUUCUAUUUCGAGUCCAAGGAAAUCCUCUUUUGAUUUUGCAAUUCGAUUUGGGGUCCGAAGAAAUCCCCUUUUGAUUUUGCAAUUUGACUUGGGG